AUGGUGGGAGGUCUAGUGCUCCCCCAGCCGCAGCACCAGGCCGCCACGCCAAGAACCGCCGCCCCGGCGCCGGCGCUGGAGCAGGCGCCGUGCUGCGCCACGGUCUCGGCGCGGCCCGUGCGGGGCCUGGACGAGGUCAGGAAGGCGCACGCGAGGAACGUCAAGCUCGGCCUCGACCGCUCUCCGCCGCACCUGCGGCCGCUCCUCGCGGCGUGCGCGCUCGGGGAGUGGCCGGGCAGCAUGGAGUACGCGGCGGCCAUCUUCGCCACGCUCGACGAGCCGGAGGCGUUCGACUACAACACACUGAUGCGCGGCCACGUCGUCGGCGGCCGCGACCCCGCGGCCGCUCUGCGGCUGUACGUCGACAUGCUGAACGACGGCGUCGAGCCCGACGGCUACACGUUCCCGUUCGUCCUCAAGGCGUGCGCGCAGCUCGCGGCGUUGCGGCAAGGGAGGCAGCUGCAGGGACACGCCGUGAAGCUCGGGUUCCUCGAGCACGACGAGCACGCGCAGAACAGCCUCAUCAGCUUCUACGGCAAGUGCGGCGAGCCGGAGUUGGCGCGCCGGGCGUUCGAGCAGAUGGAGGCCGGGGAGAGAACGGCGGCGUCCUGGAGCGCGCUGCUCGCGGCGUACACGAAGGCCGGGCGGUGGGCUGAUUGCCUCGAGUCGUUCGGCGCGAUGGCGCGGAACGGGUGGAGGCCCGACGAGAGCUCCAUGGUGAGCGCGCUCUCGGCGUGCGCGCACCUGGGCGCCUACGACGUCGGCCGGAGCGUCCACUGCGCGCUGCUGAGGAAUACCAUGACGCUGAACACGUUCAUGGAGACGUCCCUGGUGGACAUGUACGCCAAGUGCGGCUGCAUCGAGAAGGCGACGGCGGUGUUCGACAGCAUGGACGGCAAGAAGAACGAGUGGACGUACAGCGCCAUGGUGUCCGGCUUGGCGUUGCACGGGGACGGGCGUAAGGCGCUGCAGGUGUUCGACGCGAUGAUCAGGGAGGGACACCAGCCCGACGAGGCCGUGUACGUCGGCGUGCUCAACGCGUGCAGCCGCUCGGGGCUGCUCGAGGAAGGCCUGCGGUGCUUCGACCGGAUGCGGCUUGAGCGCAAGGUGGCUCCCAACGCGCAGCACUACGGCUGCAUGGUGGACCUCAUGGCCCGCGCCGGGAGGCUGGACGAGGCGCGCGCGCUCAUCGGGAGCAUGCCCACGGGUCCCACGGACACGGCCUGGCGGAGCCUGCUCAACGCCUGCCGGAUCCACGGCGACAUCGAGCUCGCCGAGCGCGCGCUGCGGGAGCUGGCGCGCCUCGGCGGCGCCGUCAACGCCGGCGACUACAUAAUCCUCGCGGAUAUGCACGCCAGGGCCGAGAACUGGGACGAGGCGGCCGCGCUCCGGACGGAGGCGGUGGAAAGGGGCCUAGCGCAGGCGCCGGGGUUCAGCGCCGUGGAGGUGCACGGCGAGAUGCACCGGUUCACGUCGCAGGACCGGUCGCACCGCCGGACGGCCGACAUCUACGAGAUGCUCCACCAGAUGGAGUGGCAGCUCCGGUUCGAGGGCUACAAGCCAGACACGUCGGAGGUGGCGCUGGACGCGGACGACGAGGAGAAGCGGAGCGCCGUCGCCGCCCACAGCCAGAAGCUGGCCUUGGCGUUCGGGCUGCUCAGCACGCCGGAAGGCACUCCGGUGAGGGUCGUCACCAACCUUCGGAUGAGCAAGGAGUGCCACGCCUACAGCGCGCUGAUAUCGGAGAUCUUCGGGAGGGAGGUCGUCGUCAGGGACCGGAACCGUUUCCACCGGUUCCGGCGUGGCACCUGCAGCUGCGGGAACUAUUGGUAG
rnacentral:rRNA from 1 species